UUUGCUACACGAAGUUCUCUCUCAUGAACAAAGAGGGGUACUUUCGCUGGCGGUUGUGUCAAGUGUAGAAUCUGGACAAUUUGGACAACCAACUGAUGGCGCUGCUGAGCAGCAGGUAGAAAUAGCAGCAAGCACUCCUGCUGACGCUCUUUUGGACCAGAUCAAGAACAGGAAGUUACGGGAAGACGUACCUCCCGUUCAUACUGAAGUGGAUAAAUCGAAAAAGGAGAAAAAGAAGAUUGGGAAUGAGAAUCUCAAUGAAGCCCUUGACGAAGCAAAGAAGG